CCCUACGGGGCGCAGCAGUGAGGAAUAUUGGUCAAUGGGCGGGAGCCUGAACCAGCCAUGCCGCGUGAAGGCGAGUGCCCUACGGGCGUUAAACUUCUUUUGUGCGGGAGCAAUAAGGGCCACGUGUGGCCCGAUGAGAGUACCGCACGAAUAAGCAUCGGCUAACUCCGUGCCAGCAGCCGCGGUAAUACGGAGGAUGCGAGCGUUAUCCGGAUUUAUUGGGUUUAAAGGGUGCGUAGGCGGACUGGAAAGUCAGCGGUAAAAUCGAGAGGCUCAACCUCUUUCCGCCGUUGAAACUGUCGGUC
rnacentral:rRNA from 1 species